rnacentral:rRNA from 1 species
UACGUAGGGGGCAAGCGUUGUCCGGAUUUAUUGGGCGUAAAGAGCGUGUAGGCGGCCAGGUAGGUCAGCUGUGAAAACUCGAGGCUCAACCUCGAGAUGUCGGCUGAAACCAUCUGGCUAGAGUCCGGAAGAGGAGAAUGGAAUUCCCGGUGUAGCGGUGAAAUGCGCAGAUAUCAGGAGGAACACCGAUGGCGAAGGCAGCUCGCUGGGACGGUACUGACGCUGAGGCGCGAAAGCGUGGGGAGCGAACAGG